CCUCUUCCGCUUCCUUCCUGUGGCCACUGUGAUUGUGUGACGUGGUCGUUGCGGGCGUAUGAUCCUCUUCGCUCAGAGCGCGACCGGCUGCCGGGCCGUGGGGAUGUGUCGCCCCACUGGUAGUUUUUCCUGGAGAUGCUCAUCUGCCCUUUCGGUGUCGUGGGCUCCCUGUGGCCGUUAAUCCCUGGUGGUGGUGUGUUCUCCACGGUCCCCCCUUUUUUGGUUUUGUGUGUGUGUGAGUGUGUAGUUUCACGGGUGAUUCUGUCGAGGACCUCCCCCCCCCCUCUUUGUCUUGUGGUUGUCCUGUUGCAUGGUAGCCCCGGCCAGCUUUAUUCGCCCCUUGGUUUGUUUUAUUGUGUGUUCAACUGGUGUGACUGUGUUUGAAUUGUAUUUCGUCUAUUCUAUGUGUUAAUAAAUUCUUUGUUGUGGAA